UCCCGUAUUCCUCGACUUCAUUCUUCGUUAUCAUCGCGGCUACUUCAUCUGAAAGGAGGAGCAAAAGAUCCUUUUGUUGAUCCAGGAAGAAAAGAAAAAGGUGGCGCAAGAACAGCUUGCUUGUGUAAUUCAAAUGGCUCUUCCUUGAUUUGGGGAAAAGGGAAGGCUUGUAAAUUCUGAAGCAUGGAGGAGAUGCCAAACGAGAAGAAACAAAGUGAAUCUGGAUCAAUUAAUUGCGCACCUAGUUCAAGCAGCAGCCAGGACAUUCCCAAUUCACUGGUGAAUAAAGAUGAAGACCUCGCUAUUGGGGUGGUAACAGAGUUAAAGAAGGAGGGGACGCCCAUUGAACAGAAGGAGGAAAGGGCGUCAACGGCUAUCGACUUGAAGGAGGAGGGUACAGCCACCCAACUGAAGGAGGAAGGGGCUUCCAAGGAGGAUGAGGCAGCUGUUGACUCCAAGGAAGAGGGGGCGAAAACCGAAUUGGAGGAAAAGAUGAUGUUAUCCCAGAAGAGAGACUAUGAGAAGGCUAUCGAACUUAAGGGAGAGGGGACAAAGCUAUUCCAGAAGCGGGAUUAUGAGGGGGCGGCCCUUGAGUUUGAUAAGGCAAUAAAGCUCUUGCCAAAGGGGCACGAUGAUAUCGCCUUCCUCCACUGCAAUAUUGCUGCAUGUUACAUGCACAUGAAACCUGAGAGUUAUGAACGAGCUGUUGACGAGUGCAAUGCAGCACUGGAAGCAUCGCUGAAGUAUACAAAUGCAUUGCUGAAAAGGGCACGAUGCUUUGAAGCAUUGGAUAGGCUGGAUCUGGCUUGUGAGGAUGUGCAGAAGGUGCUGAGCUUGGAACCAAACAAUGUCACUGCAUUGGAGCUCUACGAGAGCCUUAGGGAGGAGAUGGAGACAGAAAAUUUGUUGGAGAAUCAGGUUGUGUCACCGGUAGAGCCUAAGGCCGGUUUUUCAAAAGAGAAGAUCCAGAGGAAAGUAUCUCGCAGAUUUAGAAACAAUUCCAUAGUUGAGGAGGUGUGGUUGAUUCACGAUGACGAUGAGCAAGAGAAUGAUGAAGAUGGCAACGAAGAAGAGUGCAGUGAAGAAAACCACAUGGAGAAUGAUUUAAGCAAUGAAGGAAAUGAUACCCGGGAGAUGCCAUCGAGACAUAAUCAUGACGAGGAUAAAAGAAACACGGAAAAGAACCAGGUGAAGCAUGGUCAGCAGAAACUAGGAGCAGAUGAUGAAGGCCAACGACUGCAGCAUGCUCCGUGGGAUGCGGAACAAAUGCACCACAAAGAAACAGAGAGUCAAAAUAAGCAUGAAAAGCCCCUCAAAGAGAUAAAGGUGAGAAGUGGUCAGGAUCAGCAGGUAAUGCAUACAAAGCAGAAUCAAGUCGCCGAUAUGGAUGUGCGUCAAAAGCAAAUUGAGGAUGUACCAACCACUAGCCGUAGUAACCAAGAAAUUCACACUGAGAUGUAUGAAAGGUUUAUCAAUGGCAACCAAGCAAGACGCUCCUUACAGCGGCAUACUAGUCGUGGCGGGGAUAAGCAGGAAAAGCAAACUUCAGUUAAACUAGCAAGUCCUGGGGGAGAUGAGCACCAAAAACAGAAACGCGCAUAUGCUGCUGAUGGAGAAACAAAGACUGUAAAGUUUGUUAUGGGAGAUGACAUAAGGAUUGCACUUGUUCCAGAAGACUGUAGUCUACGGCAAGCGAUAAACGUAGCUCGCUGCAAGUACAGUCCGCACCUGAAGGCAAUGCUUCUUAAGUUUCAGGACAUAGAGGGUGACUUGGUGACCAUUACAUCAACUGAGGAACUAAGGUGGGUUGAGGAUCUUAAGCAAGGACCCGCUCGACUGUACAUAAAAGAAGUAAGUCCUGAGCGCGAGAUCACCAAGGACAUCGUCAUGCCCAAUAUUUCUACGGCAACGCUGGAAAGAAAGCAUAGCAUCUCUGAGUGCGGAAGCGCUAGACACCCAGCAGAAGACAAGAGCUCAUCAUAUGCUGAUGACUGGAUGGUGCAGUUCGCUCGUCUAUUCAAGAACCAUGUUGGUUUUGAUUCUGAUGCAUUAGUGGAUCUCCGUGACCUCGGUACGCGGCUGUGCAUCGAGGCAAUGGAAGACACCAUCACAAGCGAAGAAGCCCAGGAGAUAUUUCAUGCGGCAGAGGCAAAAUUUCAGGAAAUGGCAGCUUUAGCGUUGUUUAACUGGGGCAACAUACACAUGUCUCGCGCAAAGAAACGACUAUCUUUAUCAGAGGAUGCUUCAAAGGAGUCUGUACUUUCCCAGGUCAAAACCGCAUACGAACUGGCAUGCGCUGAAUACGUCAAAGCUGGAAAGAAGUUUGAAGAUACUGUGGAUGUAAAGCCAGACUUUUAUGAAGGCCUUAUUGCGCUUGGAAAUCAACAGUUUGAGCAAGCAAAGCUGUCUUGGCGUUAUGGAGAUGCUUGUAAGGUAGACAUGCGAACUGAAGUACUAGAGCUAUUCAAUCGUGCUGAGGAUAACAUGGAAAAAGGAAUGGAGAUGUGGGAGGGGAUAGAAUACUUGCGACUAAAAGGAUUGUCUAAAUCAAAAAAGGAGAAAAUCCUACUGGAUAAGUUGGGAUUGGAUGGGCACCAAAAAGAUUUAACAGCAGAUGAAGCGUUUGAGCAAGCUUCAAAUAUGCGAUCACAGCUAAACAUUUCAUGGGCUACCAUUCUUUAUGAGCGAUCAGUAGUAGAAUUCCAGUUAGGUCUUGCUAGCUGGGAGGAGAGUCUCACCGAAGCAAUUGAGAAAUUUAAGACCGGUGGAGCUUCGCUGGCAGAUAUCAGUGUAAUGAUAAAGAACCAUUGUGCGAAUGAGAAAACUCAAGAAGGUAUGAUGUAAUCGUGUGACCUUUUUCUGUAAUUUUUUGUUCCUCUGUUGCUAAAUCAUCAAUACCAAAACUUGUAUAUGUACACCAUGUAUGUUAAUAAUUUCAUGCUUCUUAUAAUGGUUAUUCUGGGAAAUGUAAGCUUCUGCAUGCAGUUCAAGUUUUACUACCUCAUUCAUUGAGAAAGACAAUCUAAACCCUAACAUAGGGAGCCAUCUUCGAAUAUUUUUAGUGGACCACUAGUGUUAACCAAAAUUGGUGGAUGGCUAUUUGUAAUAGUAGAAAAAAAAGACUACGACACAUUUCCAAAUAUCCAACUUAUAUAGACUUGUAUGUUAUCGCGAAGAAACACAAACAUUAGGAUCUGCCAUAGUCAGUGUGUAGCUUGCCACUAUCCAAAGACAAUUGGUUUCAUCAGCGGAUAGUAAGGUAUGUCCACAACAACUGUCAUGCUACAAUUUGUAAUAAUAGAUUCCGGAAACAACUUCAGUAUUACUUCAGAAAUGUUUAUGGACAAGAAAAUCAGAUAUCAUUAAUUUGUCUUGGUCAUGUUAUGCCUUACAAAUAGCAAAAAUUACAUUUAAUCCUGGUGCUAAUUGUUACAUUUUAACUUAACUAAUCUGCUAUGCUAGAAGUUCGAAUUUUAGAUCCUCUUAACUACAUUCAAGGGCAUAUAAGUUGUUAAGAUUUUUCUCUUCGUUAUUCAGGAUUGAGCUUCAAGAUUGAUGAGAUAGUUCAAGCAUGGAACGAAAUGUACGAUGCUAAAAAGUUGGAAAAUGGUAGUUCUUCUUUCCGUCUUGAACCUUUAUUUCGAAGACAGCCUUCGAAGCUGCAUAAUGUACUAGAGCACAUAAAGUACACAUGAGCUUGUAUUUAACAUAGGACUUGAUGCUGUCGACAUGGAUACGAAUGUUGAUACUAAUUGAAAAGGUAAUUUCAUUCUUUAAUGAGAUGUAUUAUUAAGGUUAUUCCAAGAUAUCUAUUUGAUUUAAUACACUAGUCCUAGAAAAGUAACCGCGGCAACUUUUUCACCAUGCGGAAUCAUUAAAUAUAAACCAUAAUAAUGACUGGAUAUAUAUAUAUAGGGAAAAUCCAUCCUACCAUAAUGAUAUAACGAAAUGAAGUGUUGUGGGCACUGGGGCCACAUUUCACUCUAAUACUCCAACCCUUUCCAAUCAAGCAUCUUCCCCUCUAGACUUCCUCGCUAAGCAGCAAUGAUGCUGAAAGCUAGAAACUCGAUGGUCAUGCCGGGGACCCUGGAGAACCGUCUCUGAAGAGUUCUAGCAUCCACUAGCACUGGAGGUGGUGGCAUCUAGAUCAGGGCAUCGCCCCUGGGAUAGGAAUAGGAUGACAACAGUGGGUGGCCGAAAAGGAGCAACAUGUACAUCUCCUUUAGUCAUUAGACCCAUUGAUGGUGACAGCAUGGCAAGGGCGGAGAUGCUUUGAGGAGGCCACUAGCUACCUCAGUUUUUCAUUGUUCAGGCCUGUCAACAGAGCAGAGCAGUGGACAGCUUUCAUAGUUUGGAUUGUAAUGUUGAAGGUUAAAUGUUCAGGGCUAAAAACCGGACUUCUGCAAGAAGAGCUGAAAAGAAGAUGGUGUUUUCUAUAUUGUCGCAAAAUAAUGUAUUAUAGAGAUGUUCUGCUUUUACUGUUAGUGGAAUCGGUUCUUACACUGAUUAUAGUUCCUCUGUUGCUGAAGAGGAUGCUCUAUAUAGAUGACCAAAGAAACAAAGCUUUUUCCCAAGGUUGAUAACCAGAAUUGAGCAAUGGGUAUUAGAAUACAAAAGUUAUAUGUUUGGUUCAUCAAUUAUUGCCGCGGGUUCAAAUUGCAACCCAAUUUCAAUGAUGUUUAUUUUGCAAGUCCAACCCUCAAUACCGUAACAUUGUACCCUUUGCCCCAACAGAAGGGUAGCUUUGAGCUGAGGUGGACUUUGGCUAAGUGAUGUGGCAGCCACAUCAGCUCUCCACAUCCAAAAUAAAAAAACACCAUUACAAGAUUUUUUAUUGGCCCUACGUGGCAUCCCUCCCGUACCUUAUUAUCUCCCCUUACUCGUCUCUCUCCCUUGUCUCGGCAAGUGGAAACAUAUGCGAUGGAUGUAGUGGCAUCUCCUCUUCUUCAUUACACACUCUAGCAUCCCUCAGCCGCUUGCUUUCUCAUUCACCCUAGGAAACAUUUGUUCAGCAUGGUACUCCCGGAAGAUGUCACUUGGUGGCAGAAGCAUCACUGAGCGGAUACUCCACUCUAAGACCCCAAGGGUGUCACUUGGUGGUACCCGGAUCUGCAAGAUGAGAAAUUUCACAUCACCUCCUGGCUAUGCCAGCCACUUCCUGGUUAUCUAUCUCCAGUGAGGGACUGUCCACCUACGCCUGCCAAUGCUAUGGAGGUAUGAAUUGAUGAAUAACACCAUGUCCAAUACCUAGAGCAGCCUGGUGGGUGAUGUCAAUGUGUUAUUCUGUUAGUAUUAUUUUGAUUAUUGGAGAAACUUGAGUUCUCAGCAUAUCUUUUCCAUAUGUUACAGGCUCUGUCAACUCAUCUUGUAUCUAUCAAUUUCUUUAUGUGUUUUGUGAGCACACCAAGCCAUAUGCAUGCUCAAAUACGAAAUUAUCUUGACAUGUUCUGCAGGCUGUUGACUGUUCCGAACUGUCUAUAUUCAUGAACUGAAACAAAUGAUAUUUCCAAUUCAAACUACAAGAGGUGUUCAGGAUACACUUUGCAAAGCUUACAAGAUAGUAUUUCACAAGCUGCAGCUCUAUUUUACAGAUGCAAGAGACCCAACUUCGCAUUAUUAGAUACAUAGUUAAUCUCAACAGUUGUAGACAUAUAAGAGUUAAAGUUCAGUGUGAAAGUUUAUAGUUUUGGAAUGAUCGAAUGGUAUGUACUUUAUUAGAAGGAUUUGGCAUAUGUACUCUGCUGAAAAUAGAGUAACAGUUCACAUCCACUAUUUGUGUGCAUGAACAAUACUGGGUUAGCAGCACAGAUGGAACCUUUUUUUCUCGAGAAAACGCAAAGGAUUUGCGCUUCAUUGCAUUGCACAGAUGGAACCUGACAAUAGAUUAGGGAUAUGAUUAGAUAAGUUUCUCUCUAUUAGAAAUAUGCUUCCUUAGAUUUAGAGAUCGAUUCUUAGUGGUUAAUUAUUAUCCCCAAAUUGCGAUUUUCAGCUAUGGUCUCUUCUUUGGUACAUAUCAUAGAUCCGUUCGGUCCUCCUUAGCCUGGUGUUAUUUUACUUCUAAUAACUUGCUUCAAUGGAAUUUCACUCCAGCUACAAACUAUCAUGCACUGCACAUAUGCAGAAAGGAGAAAGGCACUCCUAUUGAUGAUUUUUUUAACAUUUAUUGUACAAGAGAACUGCGUAAUUUUGAAGGAUUCAUGGAGCCAGAGGCACUCAACUUAAUGAACAACCAUCCGAUCCUACUCUACUAGAAGAGUUCUGCAUUUUUUUUCAGUUAUAUGAAAUAUUCAUUCAUAUAUCCCGGUUACCUACAACUGCACAUGCAUCUUAGGAUGCAGAGGCCAGGGGUAAUAAAAGCUUCCAUUUCUAAAAGAUAACUCAAAGCUGCACAUUACUCAUUGUAAAAUUCAACUCCAGGAAGUGUGCUAACUUGAGGUCAUAUAGAGUAAGGUGGAGACAAUAAGAUUUAUUUAUUUUACUUUGUGGGAAAUGACCCUGUAUGUUUCACGAGAGCUACAAGGAUACAAUACAGACGAAUGAUGACUCAUGAAUGAUUAACUAAUUACUCAAAGAGGAACAAGAGAAGAGUUAAGUAUAAGCUCAGAACCUCAAGAGAGGCCAAAGCAAUCCUACUAACGACAGAACAACUGGAGGGCACAACAAAUUGAGAUCAGCGAGGCUACUCCCCUUCCUACUUAUAUACUCCCACCAUCCCAAAAUAAGUGUCUUAACUUUGUACUAACUUUAGUACAAAGUUGAACUAAACUUGAGACACUUAUUUUGGGAAGGAGGGAGUAGUAUUCAACUGGAUGCGCACCAGUUUCUAGCACUCGCAUACACAAGCAAACCUGAUCCUAUACACAAGAGCGCAAGGGUUUGACGGUAACCUGGGAUCUGAGGUGUGAAGAGAGAGUGGCCGAGUGUUGCGUCCCUCUUCUCGAUCUAUUCCACCAUGGAUCUGGAUACAAGGUCUUUGGGAGGAAUUGGGAAAGGGAGUUAGUCUUGGAGAGGGAGAUGGGGUUCGAGAGGGAUCUGUAAGCAUGUCACCAGUUAAUGGUAACACGCGCCCCUCUCUGGACCGCC
rnacentral:lncRNA from 1 species